UGUAGUAAGCCACCAGCUAAAUAUAAUUUGUCCAUGUCAAUAACUCCUCUUGCAUCUUGGCGACACAGUGAUCUGCUAUAUUGGGCUAUCAGAUUUGAAAACUGAGGGAAAUUCAGAUACACUCCAAAUGCCUGUUCAGCUCAGGGUUUUCUUCCUCUGCUGAGCCUGAAGGCCUGAGAUUAGCUGUGUCUCUGAGAGUGUGGUGUGAUGCAGACUGUGGUGUCAGGUGAACUGACAGGAGAAUGGGAAGGUUUCUGGUGGAGUUCUGCCUGUCUUUUGGGGACCUUCACCAUCAAGAAUACCAGCUGGAGAGGAUCAAUGGAACACCACCAGGAUCCAUAGAGUUGUGAUUUUUUUCCUUAUUCUGUCCCUGUCACUCUCCUUCUGACCCCCUCACCUAUUUCCAAUUUCUCCCUCUCUCUCAUAUUUACUAUCAAAUAAAAUCUAUACUAUUGUCACUGGCA